rnacentral:rRNA from 1 species
GUUAACGCUGGCGGUAUGUAUAAUACAUGCAAGUCGAACGGCUGUAGCAAUACAGCAGUGGCGAACGGCUGAGUAACACGUUGGCAUCUGCCCCGAACUCAGGGAUAACACCUAGAAAUAGGUGCUAAUACCGGAUGGUCCCGUAAGGGUAAAGAUUUAUCGGUUCGGGAGGAGCCUGCGGCCUAUCAGCUUGUUGGUGAGGUAACGGCUCACCAAGGCUAUGACGGGUAGCUGGUCUGAGAGGAUGACCAGCCAGAAUGGGACUGAGACACGGCCCAUACUCCUACGGGAGGCAGCAGUAAAGAAUCUUUCGCAAUGGGGGAAACCCUGACGAAGCAAUACCGCGUGGGCGAUGAAGGCCGAAAGGUCGUAAAGCCCUUUUCUGAGGGAAUAAUUCUGAAGGUACCUCAGGAAUAAGCACCGGCUAACUCCGU